GAUGAACGCUGGCGGCGUGCCUAAUACAUGCAAGUCGAGCGAACAGAUGAGGAGCUUGCUCCUCUGACGUUAGCGGCGGACGGGUGAGUAACACGUGGAUAACCUACCUAUAAGACUGGGAUAACUUCGGGAAACCGGAGCUAAUACCGGAUAAUAUAUUGAACCGCAUGGUUCAAUAGUGAAAGACGGUUUUGCUGUCACUUAUAGAUGGAUCCGCGCCGCAUUAGCUAGUUGGUAAGGUAACGGCUUACCAAGGCAACGAUGCGUAGCCGACCUGAGAGGGUGAUCGGCCACACUAGAACGGAGACACGGUCCAGACGCCUACGGGAGGCAGCAGUAGGGAAUCUUCCGCAAAGGGCGAAAGCCUGACGGAGCAACGCCGCGUGAGUGAUGAAGGUCUUCGGAUCGUAAAACUCUGUUAUUAGGGAAGAACAAAUGUGUAAGUAACUAUGCACGUCUUGACGGUACCUAAUCAGAAAGCCACGGCUAACUACGUG
rnacentral:rRNA from 1 species